AGAGUUUGAUCCUGGCUCAGGACGAACGCUGGCGGCGUGCCUAAUACAUGCAAGUUGAACGAUGAUUUCUGGUACUUGUAUCAGAAUGAAGAGUAGCGAACGGGUGAGUAACGCGUGGGUAACCUACCUCUUAGCGGGGGACAACUAUUGGAAACGAUAGCUAAUACCGCAUAACAAUAUUAAACACAUGUUUAAUAUUUGAAAGUACCAAUUGGUACACUAGGAGAUGGACCCGCGUUGUAUUAGCUAGUUGGUAGUGUAAUGGACUACCAAGGCGAUGAUACAUAGCCGACCUGAGAGGGUGAUCGGCCACAUUGGGACUGAGACACGGCCCAAACUCCUACGGGAGGCAGCAGUAGGGAAUCUUCGGCAAUGGACGAAAGUCUGACCGAGCAACGCCGCGUGAGUGAAGAAGGUUUUCGGAUCGUAAAACUCUGUUGUUAGAGAAGAACGUUGUGUAGAGUGGAAAAUUACACAAGUGACGGUAUCUAACCAGAAAGGGACGGCUAACUACGUGCCAGCAGCCGCGGUAAUACGUAGGUCCCGAGCGUUGUCCGGAUUUAUUGGGCGUAAAGCGAGCGCAGGUGGUUUAAUAAGUCUGAUGUAAAAGGCAGUGGCUCAACCAUUGUGUGCAUUGGAAACUGUUAGACUUGAGUGCAGUAGAGGAGAGUGGAAUUCCAUGUGUAGCGGUGAAAUGCGUAGAUAUAUGGAGGAACACCGGUGGCGAAAGCGGCUCUCUGGAC
rnacentral:rRNA from 1 species